UACGGAGGGUGCAAACGUUGCUCGGAAUCAUUGGGCGUAAAGCGCACGUAGGCGGUCCGUUAAGUCGGGAGUGAAAGCCUCAGGCUCAACUUGGGAAGUGCUUUCGAAACUGGCGGACUUGAAUACUGAAGAGGAUCGCGGAAUUCCCGGUGUAGAGGUGAAAUUCGUAGAUAUCGGGAGGAACACCAGCGGCGAAGGCGGCGAUCUGGGCAGAUAUUGACGCUGAGGUGCGAAAGCGUGGGGAGCAAACAGG
rnacentral:rRNA from 1 species